GAUGAAGAACGCAGCGAAAUGCGAUAAGUAAUGCGAAUUGCAGAAUUCAGUGAAUCAUCGAAUCUUUGAACGCACCUUGCGCUCCUUGGUAUUCCGAGGAGCAUGCCUGUUUGAGUGUCAUUAAUAUAUCAACCUCUUCAGCUUAUGCUUGUUGAGUGUUGGAUGGUGGGGGUUUGCUGGUGUCUUAUGAAGUCAGCUCCUCUGAAAUGCAUUAGCGGAACAAUUUGUUGACCGUUCAUUGGUGUGAUAAAAAUAUCUACGCUAUUGACGUCAGUCAGUUCAGCUUCUAACAGUCCAUUGACUUGGACAAAUUUUUCAUUAAUGUGACCUCAAAUCAGGUAGGACUACCCGCUGAACUUAAGCAUAUCAAUAAGCGGAGGA
rnacentral:misc_RNA from 1 species